GACGAACGCUGGCGGCGUGCUUAACACAUGCAAGUCGAGCGAGGUCCAUCCAGUGGCAACACUGGGGAAGACCUAGCGGCGAACGGGUGAGUAACACGUGAGCAACCUGCCCCGAAGACUGGGAGUAACACCGGGAAACCGGUAGCUAAUACCGGAUGCCCUCACCGGGCCGCAUGACCUGGUGAGGAAAUGAAUUUUGUCUUCGGGAGGGGCGUCGCGGGCUAUCAGCUUGUUGGU
rnacentral:rRNA from 1 species